rnacentral:rRNA from 1 species
AUUGAACGCUGGCGGCAUGCCUCACACAUGCAAGUCGAACGGUAACGGGCCUUCGGGUGCCGACGAGUGGCGAACGGGUGAGUAAUGUAUCGGAACGUACCUUUCAGUGGGGGAUAACGUAGCGAAAGUUACGAUAAUACCGCAUAUUCUGUGAGCAGGAAAGCAGGGGAUCGCAAGACCUUGCGCUGAUUGAUCGGCUGGUACCCGAGUAGCAAGUAGAAUGGGUAAAGGCUAACCAAGGCGACGAUCUGUAGCGGGUCUGAGAGGAUGAUCCGCCACACUGGAGCUGAGACACGGUCCAGACUCCUACGGGAGGCAGCAGUGGGGAAUUUUGGACAAUGGGGGCAACCCUGAUCCAGCCAUGCCGCGUGAGUGAAGAAGGCCUUCGGGUUGUAAAGCUCUUUCGGCCGGGAAGAAAUCGUAUCAGCUAAUACCUGGUGCGGAUGACGGUACCGGCAUAAGAAGCACCGGCUAACUACGUGCCAGCAGCCGCGGUAAGAC